GACGUAGGGCGCGAGCGUUGUCCGGAUUUAUUGGGCGUAAAGAGCUCGUAGGCGGCUUGUCGCGUCGUUCGUGAAAACCCGGGGCUCAACUCCGGGCUUGCGGGCGAUACGGGCAGGCUAGAGUUCGGUAGGGGAGACUGGAAUUCCUGGUGUAGCGGUGAAAUGCGCAGAUAUCAGGAGGAACACCGGUGGCGAAGGCGGGUCUCUGGGCCGAAACUGACGCUGAGGUGCGAAAGCGUGGGGAGCAAACAGG
rnacentral:rRNA from 1 species